CCUACGGGUGGCAGCAGUGAGGAAUAUUGGUCAAUGGACGAGAGUCUGAACCAGCCAAGUAGCGUGAAGGAUGACUGCCCUAUGGGUUGUAAACUUCUUUUAUAUGGGAAUAAAAUGUUCCACGUGUGGGAUUUUGUAUGUACCAUAUGAAUAAGGAUCGGCUAACUCCGUGCCAGCAGCCGCGGUAAUACGGAGGAUCCGAGCGUUAUCCGGAUUUAUUGGGUUUAAAGGGAGCGUAGGUGGAUUGUUAAGUCAGUUGUGAAAGUUUGCGGCUCAACCGUAAAAUUGCAGUUGAAACUGGCAGUCUUGAGUACAGUAGAGGUGGGCGGAAUUCGUGGUGUAGCGGUGAAAUGCUUAGAUAUCACGAAGAACUCCGAUUGCGAAGGCAGUUCACUGGACUGCAACUGACACUGAGGCUCGAAAGUGUGGGUAUCAAACGGGAUUAGAUACCCGAGUAGUC
rnacentral:rRNA from 1 species